rnacentral:lncRNA from 1 species
AUGUAGACCUUCUCCUUCCUUUUGCCUCAAAGCAUCUACCAGUAAAUCCUUGAAACUGAAAAGGGCCAGCCGGCUCAUUGUCAGGAGAGGAGAACUAGAGGGCUUUGUGGCAUAGCAUCUUGGAGGGAAGAGCCCCCAGGCAGAGCCUGGAUGUGGACAGCUUUCCAGAGAAAAGAGCAGGCUGCCAGGAAGAAAGCCAGCUGGGAGCAACAGUCCCUCAUGGCUCCAUUGUGUUUGAAAGUACAACUAACCCAAUGCUCA